GAACGAUGAACCACUUCGGGGGGGAUUAGUGGCGAACGGGUGAGUAACACGUGGGCAAUCUGCCCUUCACUCUGGGACAAGCCCUGGAAACGGGGUCUAAUACCGGAUAACACUGCGGAUCGCAUGGUCUGCGGUUAAAAGCUCCGGCGGUGAAGGAUGAGCCCGCGGCCUAUCAGCUUGUUGGUGAGGUAAUGGCUCACCAAAGGCGACGACGGGUAGCCGGCCUGAGAGGGCGACCGGCCACACUGGGACUGAGACACGGCCAGACUCCUACGGGAGGCAGCAGUGGGGAAUAUUGCACAAUGGGCGAAAGCCUGAUGCAGCGACGCCGCGUGAGGGAUGACGGCCUUCGGGUUGUAAACCUCUUUCAGCAGGGAAGAAGCGAAAGUGACGGUACCUGCAGAAGAAGCGCCGGCUAACUACGUGCCAGCAGCCGCGGUAAUACGUAGGGCGCAAGCGUUGUCCGGAAAUUAUUGGGCGUAAAGAGUCGUAGGCGGCUUGUCACGUCGAUUGUGAAAGCCCGAGGCUUAACCUCGGGUCUGCAGUCGAUACGGGCUAGCUAGAGUGUGGUAGGGGAGAUCGGAAUUCCUGGUGUAGCGGUGAAAUGCGCAGAUAUCAGGAGGAACACCGGUGGCGAAGGCGGAUCUCUGGGCCAUUACUGACGCUGAGGAGCGAAAGCGUGGGGAGCGAACAGGAUUAGAUACCCUGGUAGUCCACGCCGUAAACGUGGGGCACUAGGUGUUGGCGACAUUCCACGUCGUCGGUGCCGCAGCUAACGCAUUAAGUGCCCCGCCUGGGGAGUACGGCCGCAAGGCUAAAACUCAAAGGAAUUGACGGGGGCCCGCACAAGCAGCGGAGCAUGUGGCUUAAUUCGACGCAACGCGAAGAACCUUACCAAGGCUUGACAUACACCGGAAAGCAUCAGAGAUGGUGCCCCCCUUGUGGUCGGGUACAGGUGGUGCAUGGCUGUCGUCAGCUCGUGUCGUGAGAUGUUGGGUUAAGUCCCGCAACGAGCGCAACCCUUGUUCUGUGUUGCCAGCAUGCCCUUCGGGGUGAUGGGGACUCACAGGAGACUGCCGGGGUCAACUCGGAGGAAGGUGGGGACGACGUCAAGUCAUCAUGCCCCUUAUGUCUUGGGCUGCACACGUGCUACAAUGGCAGGUACAAUGAGCUGCGAAACCGUGAGGUAGAGCGAAUCUCAAAAAAGCCUGUCUCAGUUCGGAUUGGGGUCUGCAACUCGACCCCAUGAAGUCGGAGUUGCUAGUAAUCGCAGAUCAGCAUUGCUGCGGUGAAUACGUUCCCGGGCCUUGUACACACCGCCCGUCACGUCACGAAAGUCGGUAACACCCGAAGC
rnacentral:rRNA from 1 species